rnacentral:rRNA from 1 species
GUGAGGAAUCUUCCACAAUGGGCGAAAGCCUGAUGGAGCAACGCCGCGUGAAGGAUGAAGGUCUUCGGAUUGUAAACUUCUUUUAUGAGUGAAGAAUAUGACGGUAACUCAUGAAUAAGCACCGGCUAACUACGUGCCAGCAGCCGCGGUCAUACGUAGGGUGCAAGCAUUAUCCGGAGUGACUGGGCGUAAAGAGUUGCGUAGGCGGUUAUGUAAGCGAAUAGUGAAACCUGGUGGCUCAACCACACAGACUAUUAUUCGAACUGCAUAACUCGAGAAUGGUAGAGGUAACUGGAAUUUCUUGUGUAGGAGUGAAAUCCGUAGAUAUAAGAAGGAACACCAAUGGCGUAGGCAGGUUACUGGGCCAUUUCUGACGCUAAGGCACGAAAGCGUGGGGAGCAAACAGGAUUAGAAACCCCGGUAGUCC